GGCCUCCUGGUGCUUAUCACAAGCUGUGUUCUUAACACUGACUGUAUAGAAAGAGGAGGUGACAUAUGUGGACAUUA
rnacentral:snoRNA from 1 species